CAGCCGCCACGGGAACACGAGGGGGGCAAGCGUUGUUCGGAAUUAUUGGGCGUAAAGGGUGCGUAGGCGGCUUGACAGGUCUUGUGUGAAAUCUAUGGGCUCAACCCAUAGUCUGCACGGGAAACUGUCGGGCUUGAGAAUGGGAGAGGUGAGUGGAAUUUCCGGUGUAGCGGUGAAAUGCGUAGAUAUCGGAAGGAACACCAGUGGCGAAGGCGGCUCACUGGCCCGGAACUGACGCUGAGGUACGAAAGCGUGGGGAGCAAACAGGAUUAGAUACCCCGGUAGUCCCUGUCUCUUAUAC
rnacentral:rRNA from 1 species